rnacentral:misc_RNA from 1 species
GCAAACUUGGUCAUUUAGAGGAAGUAAAAGUCGUAACAAGGUCUCCGUAGGUGAACCUGCGGAGGGAUCAUUACCGAGUGAGGGUUUCGGCCCGACCUCCAACCCUUUGUUGACCAACACCUGUUGCCUCGGGGGCGGUCCGGCCGCGGACUUCGCGCCGGCCCCCCAGGGGACCAUUCCAACUCUGUAUUUCUGCGUCGGAGUACUUGAUGAAUCAAUCAAAACUUUCAACAACGGAUCUCUUGGUUCUGGCAUCGAUGAAGAACGCAGC